rnacentral:rRNA from 1 species
GAUGAACGCUGGCGGCGUGCCUAAUACAUGCAAGUCGAGCGAACAGAUGAGGAGCUUGCUCCUCUGACGUUAGCGGCGGACGGGUGAGUAACACGUGGAUAACCUACCUAUAAGACUGGGAUAACUUCGGGAAACCGGAGCUAAUACCGGAUAAUAUAUUGAACCGCAUGGUUCAAUAGUGAAAGACGGUUUUGCUGUCACUUAUAGAUGGAUCCGCGCCGCAUUAGCUAGUUGGUAAGGUAACGGCUUACCAAGGCAACGAUGCGUAGCCGACCUGAGAGGGUGAUCGGCCACACUGGAACUGAGACACGGUCCAGACUCCUAAGGGAGGCAGCAGUAGGGAAUCUUCCGCAAAGGGCGAAAGCUUGACGGAGCAACGCCGCGUGAGUGAUGAAGGCCUUCGGAUCGUAAAACUCUGUUAUUAGGGAAGAACAAAUGUGUAAGUAACUAUGCACGUCUUGACGGUACCUAAUCAGAAAGCCACGGCUAACUACGUG